UGGGUUGUGGCUCAGUGGUAGAGCACUUACCUAGCACAUGUGAGGCCCUGAUUUCAAUCCUCAGCACCACAU
rfam:Ictidomys tridecemlineatus contig010873, whole genome shotgun sequence.